GUCAGUGUGUCCGAGUGGUUAAGGAGACAGACUUGAAAUAUCUCUUGAGAUAACUUAGACAUCUGUUGGCUUCGGCCUCGCAGGUUCGAAUCCUGUCGCUGACG